rnacentral:rRNA from 1 species
UACGAGGGGGCGAGCGUUGUUCGGAAUUAUUGGGCGUAAAGGGUGCGUAGGCGGUUUGGUAAGUCUUAUGUGAAAUCUAUGGGCUCAACUCAUAGUCUGCAUGAGAAACUGCCGGGCUUGAGUAUGGGAGAGGUGAGUGGAAUUCCUGGUGUAGCGGUGAAAUGCGUAGAUAUCAGGAGGAACACCUGUGGCGAAAGCGGCUCACUGGACCAUAACUGACGCUGAUGCACGAAAGCUAGGGGAGCAAACAGG